GACGAACGCUGGCGGCGUGCUUAACACAUGCAAGUCGAACGGAAAGGCCCUGCUUUUGUGGGGUGCUCGAGUGGCGAACGGGUGAGUAACACGUGAGUAACCUGCCCUUGACUUUGGGAUAACUUCAGGAAACUGGGGCUAAUACCGGAUAGGAGCUCCUGCUGCAUGGUGGGGGUUGGAAAGUUUCGGCGGUUGUGGAUGGACUCGCGGCUUAUCAGCUUGUUGGUGGGGUAGUGGCUUACCAAGGCUUUGACGGGUAGCCGGCCUGAGAGGGUGACCGGCCACAUUGGGACUGGGGUACGGCCCAGACGCCUACGGGAGGCAGCAGUGGGGAAUAUUGCAAAAUGGGCGGAAGCCUGAUGCAGCAACGCCGCGUGCGGGAUGACGGCCUUCGGGUUGUAAACCGCUUUCGCCUGUGACGAAGCGUGAGUGACGGUAAUGGGUAAAGAAGCACCGGCUAACUACGUG
rnacentral:rRNA from 1 species